rnacentral:ncRNA from 1 species
AUAAUGAUACUCCCGUCCAGUCACAGUCCGAGUGUAGCUUAUCGCUUAGGCUAUGGAUACACCGCAGGCAAUGAGGGCGGCUUUGUCAGACCGGCAAAGGGGUGAGAUUCCCGUG